UACAGAGGGGGCAAGCGUUAUUCGGAAUUAUUGGGCGUAAAGGGCGCGUAGGCGGCCGUGCAAGUGGAAGGUGAAAUCCCUCGGCUCAACCGAGGAACUGCCUUUCAAACUGCAUGGCUUGAGUCCGGGGAGAGGUGAGUGGAAUUCCUAGUGUAGAGGUGAAAUUCGUAGAUAUUAGGAAGAACACCAGUGGCGAAGGCGGCUCACUGGUCCGGUACUGACGCUGAGGUGCGAAAGCGUGGGGAGCAACAGG
rnacentral:rRNA from 1 species